UGGGGAAUAUUGGACAAUGGGCGCAAGCCUGAUCCAGCCAUGCCGCGUGAGUGAUGAAGGCCCUAGGGUUGUAAAGCUCUUUCACCGGUGAAGAUAAUGACGGUAACCGGAGAAGAAGCCCCGGCCAACUUCGUGCCAGCAGCCGCGGUAAUACGAAGGGGGCUAGCGUUGUUCGGAUUUACUGGGCGUAAAGCGCACGUAGGCGGACUUUUAAGUCAGGGGUGAAAUCCCGGGGCUCAACCCCGGAACUGCCUUUGAUACUGGAAGUCUUGAGUAUGGUAGAGGUGAGUGGAAUUCCGAGUGUAGAGGUGAAAUUCGUAGAUAUUCGGAGGAACACCAGUGGCGAAGGCGGCUCACUGGACCAUUACUGACGCUGAGGUGCGAAAGCGUGGGGAGCAAACAGG
rnacentral:rRNA from 1 species